CACCGGCGGCUCGAGUGGUGGCCACUUUUAUUGGGUCUAAAGCGUCCGUAGCCGGCUUGGCGAGUCCCCUGGGAAAUCUGGCGGCUUAACCGUCAGGCGUCCAGAGGAUACUGCCAGGCUUGGGACCGGGAGAGGUGAGAGGUACCUCAGGGGUAGGGGUGAAAUCUUGUGAUCCCUGAGGGACCACCAGUGGCGAAGGCGUCUCACUAGAACGGGUCCGACGGUCAGGGACGAAAGCUGGGGGCACGAACCGG
rnacentral:rRNA from 1 species